rnacentral:rRNA from 1 species
GAUGAACGCUGGCGGCGUGCCUAAUACAUGCAAGUCGAGCGAACGGACGAGAAGCUUGCUUCUCUGAUGUUAGCGGCGGACGGGUGAGUAACACGUGGAUAACCUACCUAUAAGACUGGGAUAACUUCGGGAAACCGGAGCUAAUACCGGAUAAUAUUUUGAACCGCAUGGUUCAAAAGUGAAAGACGGUCUUGCUGUCACUUAUAGAUGGAUCCGCGCUGCAUUAGCUAGUUGGUAAGGUAACGGCUUACCAAGGCAACGAUGCAUAGCCGACCUGAGAGGGUGAUCGGCCACACUGGAACUGAGACACGGUCCAGACUCCUACGGGAGGCAGCAGUAGGGAAUCUUCCGCAAUGGGCGAAAGCCUGACGGAGCAACGCCGCGUGAGUGAUGAAGGUCUUCGGAUCGUAAAACUCUGUUAUUAGGGAAGAACAUAUGUGUAAGUAACUGUGCACAUCUUGACNGUACCUAAUCAGAAAGCCACGGCUUACUACGUGCCAGCAGCCGCGGUAAUACGUAGGUGGCAAGCGUUAUUCCGGAUUAUUGGGCGUAAAGCGCGCGUAGGCGGUUUUUUAGUCUGAUGUGAAAGCCCACGGCUCAACCGUGGAGGGUCAUUGGAAACUGGAAAACUUGAGUGCAGAAGAGGAAAGUGGAAUUCCAUGUGUAGCGGUGAAAUGCGCAGAGAUAUGGAGGAACACCAGUGGCGAAGGCGACUUUCUGGUCUGUAACUGACGCUGAUGUGCGAAAGCGUGGGGAUCAAACAGGAUUAGAUACCCUGGUAGUCCACGCCGUAAACGAUGAGUGCUAAGUGUUAGGGGGUUUCCGCCCCUUAGUGCUGCAGCUAACGCAUUAAGCACUCCGCCUGGGGAGUACGACCGCAAGGUUGAAACUCAAAGGAAUUGACGGGGACCCGCACAAGCGGUGGAGCAUGUGGUUUAAUUCGAAGCAACGCGAAGAACCUUACCAAAUCUUGACAUCCUUUGACAACUCUAGAGAUAGAGCCUUCCCCUUCGGGGGACAAAGUGACAGGUGGUGCAUGGUUGUCGUCAGCUCGUGUCGUGAGAUGUUGGGUUAAGUCCCGCAACGAGCGCAACCCUUAAGCUUAGUUGCCAUCAUUAAGUUGGGCACUCUAAGUUGACUGCCGGUGACAAACCGGAGGAAGGUGGGGAUGACGUCAAAUCAUCAUGCCCCUUAUGAUUUGGGCUACACACGUGCUACAAUGGACAAUACAAAGGGCAGCGAAACCGCGAGGUCAAGCAAAUCCCAUAAAGUUGUUCUCAGUUCGGAUUGUAGUCUGCAACUCGACUACAUGAAGCUGGAAUCGCUAGUAAUCGUAGAUCAGCAUGCUACGGUGAAUACGUUCCCGGGUCU